AGCCCACCAACUCGGUCCUCUACGGCGGUCCGGACGGCGAGGACUGCGCCGAGCUCAGGGUGGUGUUCGGUUUCGGUGAGUGGAACGACAUCGACUGCGAGAGGGUGAAGCGGCCGUUCGUCUGCAAGGCACCUGCGUACGCUCAUACGUCACGCUCGUGAAGGCCAGCUGAGCCCCCCUGCUGCGUCAGCCCCCAGCCUGCGGGCAGCCAAUCAGCGGCGAGUUCAGCCGUGGGUGGCGUGCUGCCACUGGUCCAUCAGAAGAAGGGCGAGACGGGGCUGUUCGCAGGCGCCGCUUCAAAGAGCAGACGUAAGCGCUGCGCAUGGCACAUAAACGUUGCUCCGGCUUCCUUCAAGUCGUAAAAUUGUGGCAUUGUGAAAGUUCAUCAAGUCCGUGAAUUGCGGGAGAAAACUGGCUUACCGUAUCUCUUUAUCCUCUCUGCAUCGACAACUGAAUCUGCAUUUGUCAUCUAAACAGGAAAGACUUUAGGACAGUGCAGGGCACGAAUUUUCGAAAUACACGGCCAGAUAUGCCGGCGAUUCUUCA